UCCUGGUGGCUCAGAUGGUAAAGCAUCUGCCUACAAUGCAGGAGACCCAGGUUCAAUCCCUGGGUCGGGAA
rnacentral:tRNA from 1 species